AUCGCUGAAUUCUGCAUGCAGAAACGGGGGAACCAACUGAGACGGGCUUAGUGCCGGUUUCCGGGGUGAAUCGCUUGCUUGGCCGUUUUGGCCAAACGGGCGUAGGGCUGCUUUCGUGCCCGAAUCCGUCAGCUAACUCCGUAAGCGUCCGAAAGAGGG
rnacentral:sRNA from 1 species